UCAGCCAUUUUAUUUAUGAAACGUUGACUUUUUUCAACCAACCACAAAGAUAUCGGAACUAUGUAUUUAAUUUUUGGAGUUUGAUCUGCUAUGGUCGGCACUGCAUUUAGAGUUUUAAUCCGCCUGGAAUUAGGUCAACCAGGUUCUUUUAUUGGAGACGACCAAAUUUAUAAUGUAAUAGUAACAGCCCAUGCUUUUAUUAUAAUUUUCUUCAUAGUUAUGCCUAUUAUAAUUGGGGGGUUUGGAAAUUGACUAGUUCCACUAAUAAUCGGCGCCCCAGAUAUGGCGUUCCCUCGAAUAAAUAAUAUAAGUUUUUGACUUCUUCCACCUUCAUUAAUCUUACUUUUAUCCGGAGGACUGGUGGAAAGAGGAGCAGGCACAGGCUGAACUGUAUACCCCCCUUUAUCAAGAGGCAUCGCCCACGCUGGAGCUUCUGUAGAUUUAUCAAUUUUCAGACUUCACCUUGCUGGGGCAAGUUCAAUCUUGGGGGCAGUAAAUUUUAUUACAACUAUCAUCAACAUACGAGUUGAGGGUAUGACUUGGGAUCGAACUCCUUUAUUUGUUUGAUCAGUUUUUUUAACCGCUAUCCUUCUCCUGCUUUCCCUUCCAGUUCUUGCUGGAGCCAUUACAAUACUUUUAACAGAUCGUAACCUAAAUACUUCAUUUUUCGACCCUGCCGGGGGCGGCGACCCUAUCUUGUACCAACACUUGUUUUGAUUUUUUGGUCACCCAGAAGUUUAUAUUUUAAUUCUUCCUGGGUUUGGCAUAAUUUCACAUAUUAUUACAUUUGAAAGAGGUAAAAAACAAACUUUCGGUCAACUAGGUAUAAUUUACGCGAUAAUAGCAAUCGGUCUUCUAGGAUUUAUCGUUUGAGCACAUCAUAUAUUUACUGUGGGAAUAGAUGUAGACACUCGUGCUUACUUUACAGCCGCCACUAUAAUUAUUGCCAUCCCCACAGGAGUGAAAAUUUUUAGCUGAGUAGCGACACUUCAAGGAAGAGCUUUAAUUAUCACCCCAACUUUAAUAUGAGCCAUAGGCUUUGUAUUUUUAUUUACUGUGGGGGGUCUCACAGGAAUUAUUUUAGCUAACUCUUCACUUGACAUCGUACUUCACGACACUUACUAUGUAGUCGCCCACUUUCACUAUGUUUUAUCUAUGGGGGCUGUGUUUGCAAUUAUAGGAGGCUUAAUUCACUGGUUUCCUUUAUUUACAGGAGUAAAUUUAAAUCCUAAGUGACUAAAAAUUCAAUUUUAUACUAUGUUCAUUGGGGUUAAUAUAACAUUUUUCCCCCAACACUUUUUAGGACUAAACGGCAUGCCUCGACGUUACUCAGACUACCCCGAUGCAUUUACUACUUGAAACGUAUUAUCUUCGUUAGGAAGCUAUACCUCAGUAGCUGCCGUUAUUCUAUUCAGCUUUAUUAUUUGGGAAUCUAUUUCGACUGCCCGUCCUAGAGUCCAUAACUUUAUUUACUCUUCAUCAAUUGAAUGACUUCAAAAUAUACCCCCAUCCGAACACUCAUACUCGGAGCUAUCCUUAGUCACACAUUUUUAAUGUGGCAGAUUAGUGCAGUGAACUUAAAAUUCAAAAAUGAAUAAUUUAUUCUUUUAAAAAUUGCAACUUGAGCGGCUUUAGGGUUCCAAAACGCUUCUUCACCUUUAAUAGAACAACUAAUCUUUUUCCAUGACCACACCCUAACAAUUUUGAUUUUAAUUAUUUCUAUUGUAGGAUUUAAUUUAUUCUCAACUAUACACAACACAAAUAUUGACCAACAUAUAAUAGAAUCCCAAGGUUUAGAAUUAUUUUGAACUAUUAUCCCAAGUUUUAUUUUAAUUUUUAUCGGCCUUCCUUCUAUUCGCUUAUUAUAUUUAUUAGAUGAGGUCUAUAACCCGGCAAUCACCAUUAAAACUAUCGGACAUCAAUGAUAUUGAUCUUACGAAUAUUCAGAUUUUAUUAACUUAGAAUUUGACUCAUACAUAAUCCCGUCAAAUGAAAUAGAAAUAAAUAUAUUUCGUUUAAUUGACGUUGAUAACCGAAUAAUAGCCCCUCUGAACUCCCAAGUCCGCACUUUAAUUACAGCUGCUGAUGUUUUACACUCAUGAACAGUCCCAAGAAUGGGAAUUAAAGCUGACGCUGUGCCAGGACGUCUAAACCAAGUUAAUUUUUAUACAAACCGCCCUGGACUAUUUUUCGGGCAAUGCUCAGAAAUUUGCGGAGCAAAUCAUAGAUUUAUGCCCAUCGUAAUUGAAACAAUUCCAGGAAAAAACUUCAUUAAAUGAGUAAAAAAUAUAUCUAAAUAAACUAUUCAUUAAGUGGCUGAAAGUAAGCGUCGGUCUCUUAAACCGUUUCAUAACAAUUUAACAAAUGUUUUUAAUGAAAAAAUUAGUUAACAUUAUUUAUAAUAUAGUUUUGUCAAGACUAAGUGGUUUAAAAACAUUUUUUUAUUCCUCAAAUAGCACCCAUUAUAUGGCUACCUCUUUUUUUAUUGUUCUCUUGGCUAUUCCUUCUAUCUGUAAUUAAAAUUUCUAAUAUUAAAAAUACUAAUAUGAAUGCCAACGUUGGUCAAACUAAUACCCCACUUAGUGGCAACGAAACCGGCCAUAUAAAUUGAAAAUGAUAAUAACUAAUUUAUUUUCAGUGUUUGAUCCUUCAUCUAUAAUUUUUGUAUCUUUAAACUGAAUUAGAUCAUUAAUUGUUUUAAUGAUUCUAACCCCUAUGUUUUGAGUCACCCCUAAUAAAUUUUUUUUAUCAACCUUAAAAAUUUGCAAAAAACUUCAUGAUGAAUUUAAAAUACUGCUAGGGCCCCACUCAUCAGUAGGAAGAACUAUCCCAUUUAUCUCUUUAUUGAUAUUUAUUUUAAUAAAUAAUUUUAUGGGUUUAUUUCCAUACAUUUUUACAGCUUCAAGACAUAUAGUUUUGACCUUAACUUUAAGAUUACCUCUAUGAUUAUCAUUUAUGAUGUACGGCUGAUUAAAUUAUACCAAACAUAUGUUCGCCCAUUUAGUGCCACAGAGCACUCCAAAUUUAUUAAUACCAUUUAUAGUGUUAAUCGAAUCAAUUAGAAAUGUAAUCCGACCUUUAACUUUGGCAGUCCGACUUAUAGCUAAUAUGGUAGCAGGACACCUAUUAAUAACUCUUUUGGGCAACCAAACAGCAGCCGCCUCUAACUUAAUCUUAGCUAGAUUAAUCUUAACCCAAAUUCUUUUAUUAACCCUAGAAUCUGCUGUAGCUAUAAUUCAAUCUUACGUUUUUGCGGUGUUAUCAACGCUAUACGCUAGAGAAAUUACACCCCACUAAAUAAGUAA